rnacentral:tRNA from 1 species
GUCCCCAUCGUCUAGAGGCCCAGGACAUCACCCUUUCACGGUGAAGACACGGGUUCGACUCCCGUUGGGGACGCCA